rnacentral:rRNA from 1 species
AGUCCAUGCUGUAAACGAUGAUUACUAGGUGGGGGGGGUCUGACCCCUCCCGUGCCGGAGUUAACACAAUAAGUAAUCCACCUGGGGAGUACGACCGCAAGGUUGAAACUCAAAGGAAUUGACGGGGGCCCGCACAAGCAGUGGAGUAUGUGGUUUAAUUCGAAGCAACGCGAAGAACCUUACCAGGUCUUGACAUCCAACUAACGAAGCAGAGAUGCAUUAGGUGCCCUUCGGGGAAAGUUGAGACAGGUGGUGCAUGGUUGUCGUCAGCUCGUGUCGUGAGAUGUUGGGUUAAGUCCCGCAACGAGCGCAACCCUUACUGUUAGUUGCUACGCAAGAGCACUCUAGCAGGACUGCCGUUGACAAAACGGAGGAAGGUGGGGACGACGUCAAAUCAUCAUGCCCCUUAUGACCUGGGCUACACACGUACUACAAUGGCCGUUAACAGAGAGAAGCGAUACCGCGAGGUGGAGCGAACCUCAAAAAGCGGUCUCAGUUCGGAUUGCAGGCUGAAACCCGCCUGCAUGAAGUUGGAAUUGCUAGUAAUCGCGGAUCAUAAUGCCGCGGUGAAUACGUUCCCGGGCCUUGUACACACCGCCCGUCACACCAUGGGAGCCGGUAAUACCCGAAGUCAGUAGUCUAACCGCAAGGAGGACGCUGCCGAAGGUAGGAUUGGCGACUGGGGUGAAGUCGUAACAAGGUAGCCGUAUCAGAAGGUGCGGCUG